rnacentral:rRNA from 1 species
UACGUAGGGUCCGAGCGUUGUCCGGAAUUACUGGGCGUAAAGCGUGCGCAGGCGGUGAUGUAAGACAGAUGUGAAAUCCCCGGGCUCAACCUGGGACCUGCAUUUGUGACUGCAUCGCUAGAGUACGGCAGAGGGGGAUGGAAUUCCGCGUGUAGCAGUGAAAUGCGUAGAUAUGCGGAGGAACACCGAUGGCGAAGGCAAUCCCCUGGGCCUGUACUGACGCUCAUGCACGAAAGCGUGGGGAGCAAACAGG